CGAUGAAACCGACGCACGAAGCCGACGGGGAAAAGCUUGCCGCAAGGUCAAAAUAAUUGAACUUCACACUUUCCGAAUCCGAUAAUCCAAAAGCCAUAAAUAUCUGACCCUUCACUCCGCCGAAGAGCCGAAGGAAUCGAACCGAAAUGAGCGGUCGAUCACGUCGGUUUCCGUCGUCCUUCUCCGGCUCAGCUUCCGGAUUCAAUUGAAUCACCAUCGUCUUCUUUAACCUCCUUAAUCGGAAGAAUACUGCUACAGAUUCCAUUAUCUUCCUCUUCUGGCCAUUUCUAUCUGUUUCCUUUUCAUACAUACUCGUUGUUGAUGGCUUUGGCGACUAAUAUGAGAAGAAAUGCAUGCCUCGUCACCAAUUGGCUCGUAGCGUCUGGAAAAUUAAAUUUCCUAUCGGUGGGAUUUGAACAUGCAUCUUACUCCAUCAUCAGAAAAACUAAUGGUCUUAGAAUCUUUGGGGAUCAACUGGAGGCUUCAAGAACGUAUGCUACUUCUUGUGCUAAGCUGUCGGAUGAAAUCCAGAAAGAGAAUUCAGACUCUAAUAUGUUGGUUGAUUCAUUUGGAAGGAUGCACACUUACUUAAGGAUAUCAUUGACAGAACGGUGCAACUUGCGAUGUCAGUACUGUAUGCCUGCAGAAGGUGUAGACCUCACUUCCACCCCGAAGCUUCUUACUCGGAAUGAAAUUAUGCGAUUGGCUAAUCUUUUUGUAAGCUCUGGUGUAAAUAAAAUUCGCUUGACUGGUGGGGAGCCUACCAUUAGGAAAGAUAUUGAGGAUAUAUGUUUAGAGCUGUCUAAUUUAAAAGGUUUGAAGACAUUGGCUAUGACCACGAAUGGAAUAGUUCUUGCAAGAAAACUUCCCAAGCUUAAAGAAUGUGGGCUUUCAGCUAUUAAUAUUAGUUUGGAUACAUUGGUGCCAGCAAAGUUUGAAUUCAUGACCCGGCGCAAGGGGCAUGAAAAGGUUAUGGAAUCUAUCAAUGCUGCAGUAGACCUUGGUUACAAUCCUGUUAAAGUGAACUGUGUUAUAAUGCGUGGCUUCAAUGAUGAUGAGAUUUGCAAUUUUGUUGAGUUGACUCGUGAGAAACCAAUUAAUAUUCGAUUCAUUGAGUUUAUGCCCUUUGAUGGAAAUGUUUGGAAUGUUAAGAAACUGGUACCCUACUCAGAAAUUUUGCAAACAGUGACUAAAAACUUCGUGAACCUCACACGACUGGGAGAUCAUCCUACAGAGACAGCAAAAAAUUUCAGGAUAGAUGGGCACCAGGGUACAGUUUCGUUUAUCACAUCAAUGACAGAGCAUUUUUGUGCUGGUUGCAACAGAUUGCGACUUUUAGCAGAUGGAAACUUCAAAGUCUGCUUGUUUGGUCCCUCGGAGGUUAGCUUGAGAGACCCACUUCGUCAAGGUGCUGAUGAUAACGAGCUAAGGGAAAUAAUUCAUGCAGCGGUAAGAAGAAAGAAAGCUUCACAUGCCGGAAUGUUCGAUAUUGCAAAGACUGCAAACAGACCCAUGAUACAUAUUGGUGGCUAGUCUAAGCUUGGUUCCAUGUCCGUCCAACUAGCUUGACUGGAGGACAAACCUGUUGGUGUAUAUGGAAACUGUAAAGAAACCAAAGUCAAAACUGUGGUGACAAUAUGAAGAAGCCUGAGCAGGAAAAACGAAAGAAAAAUCUCAAUUUGGUUUGGUUUCGUUCAGGGAGGGUGAAAACUACUAUCAAACAUGGGGAAAAAAAAAUCAUUUAAGAACUGCAUUCAUCUAAUGUCGUUUCGCAUUCUUCAUGACUGCCACCGGUGCCAGAGAGAUAGGAGAGAGCUUCAAUAGUCCGAGACCGGACCCGUCGAGAACUGAGAGAUCGGUUUGUUUGUAUUAUUGGAGAAUAGUUGAGAAGAUUUUGAAAGAAUUAGAUAGAGGAGAAUCUGCACAAAGAUGAGGGUUACUUUGAUUUGAUGCCUAAGCUUUCAUCAACAGCUGUUGCGAAUAGACGGUGGAGUCUUGGAAGUUUCAUAGGUUGUAGUUUUAGUGUUAUGCAUGUUCAAUUUCAUUCUACAUUAAAAGCAAUUGAAUUUACACUACUAGCAGACAAUAUAUAUAUAGAAAACCACUAUUUUUGCUAAAA